rnacentral:lncRNA from 1 species
CACGGAUCCCAGAAUCUCAGAGUCUAGUUUGUGGGGAAUCCAGCUGGACAAGGAAGGUGGCUUUAUUUGCUCCAAACCAAGACUGAAUGGGCGGAAGCUCUUUCUCAAGCCUCUCCUAACUCCAGGCACCAGGAUGCUGACAUGCCACCAGAGGAAAGUGUGGCCUUGGGGAAUGUGAUUUUCUCUGCCUGCUCUUUUUAUCUUCACCAUCAGCAGCCUGGCUUCCUUGGCAUGGACGCAAGCUUGGUCAUCAAGAUUUCCCAGGUUUCCUGUCCUACAGCUUUCACCACUGGCGACAAACUGCAGAUGUUUCUCGGUUAUAGACCGAAAAGUCCCAGAGAAGAAUGCGAUUGGCAACCACUUGCCCAAUCCUGGAGCUUCCCAGUGUUGCCAGGAGAGCAGAGAUUGUCAGAAAAGUUGAAAUCAUGGCUCUAUCUAUUCUGAUUGCCCUGAUCAGAUAGGGACAAAGGGGGAGAUGGAGAUUUUCUACCCUGACCUGGAUUGGAGUUACACAGGCAACUGCUUUGCAAUUACUUAUUAAUCUAUGCAUUUAUAUUGUAAACAUUUUUCAGUAUGAAUGCUCUAUUUCACGACAGUUGUUUAGUUUUCUUUAAGUUCAGUUCUGGAUCAAAAUGAAAAAACAAAGUUAUCCAUAAAAAAUAUCCAAUUUUGCUCCUUAAAAAUGAUGUCUUGGGGCGGGGGGGGGCGCUGCCUCAACUCUGCACCUCCAUUUUUUCCUCUGGUGACAGCAAGUUGAUCAUAGCCCCCAUCGGGCUUGUCCCAAGGAAUAGCUGAGAAAGUGCCUAACAGAGGAUCUUUUAAGUUUUUAAAUAUAUGUAUGUAUGUAUAUUAUAUGCAUAUUAAUACAUAGCUGUGGAAGAUGAAAAUAUAAGUCAUUGACAUCAAGGAAAGGAGAGGGAAACGAAUUCUGAAUCAUGUUCCUUAACAGCCCUCUUUUCUUAUUUCUCUAAAAGGGCAGAGGGAGCAGGGGAGGGACUUGGACUCAAGACGAUAUCAUUCAAAUUAACUAAUUUGACAGGAGGAGGAUCCUAAUAACCAGCAAACCCCCAGAUUUCCCAAAGAAGAGCCACCAGGCAGUGUGGGAGUCCCCUGGUAUAUUUGGGAACCCCAGUGGAAUACAGAGGACUUGAAGAACUCUUUAAUUCCCCUCUCCUUCUGGCCUGAAGAAAAUGAGUCCAGACUUGGAGAACAGACUUGUGGUUGCUAAGGGGGAGAGGGAGGGAAUGGGAUAGACUGGGAAUCUGGGGUUAACAGAUGCAAACUAUUGCUUUUGGAAUGGACAAGCAAUGAGAUCCUGCCACGUAGCACUGAGAACUGUAUCUGGUGAUGGAGCAGGACGGAGGAUGAUGUGAGAAAAAGAAUGUGUAUGUGUAUGUGUGACCGGGUCACUUUGCUGUCCAGGAGCAAAUUGACAGAACACUGUAAACCAACUAUAAUGGAAAAAAAUAAAAAUCAUUAAAAAGAAAGAAAG